GAUGAACGCUAGCUACAGGCUUAACACAUGCAAGUCGAGGGGCAGCACAGUGUAGCAAUACAUGGGUGGCGACCGGCGCACGGGUGCGUAACGCGUAUCCAACCUUCCCGUUACUCAGGGAUAGCCUUCCGAAAGGGAGAUUAAUACCUGAUGGUGUUCAAAUUCCGCAUGUUAUUUGAACUAAAGAUUUAUCGGUAACGGAUGGGGAUGCGUGACAUUAGGUAGAUGGCGGGGUAACGGCCCACCAUGCCUACGAUGUCUAGGGGUUCUGAGAGGAAGUUCCCCCACGCUGGAACUGAGACACGGUCCAGACUCCUACGGGAGGCAGCAGUGAGGAAUAUUGGUCAAUGGCCGGAAGGCUGAACCAGCCAAGUAGCGUGAAGGAUGAAGGUUCUAUGGAUUGUAAACUUCUUUUAUACGGGAAUAAAACCUCCCACGUGUGGGAGCUUGUAUGUACCGUAUGAAUAAGCAUCGGCUAACUCCGUGCCAGCAGCCGCCGUAACAC
rnacentral:rRNA from 1 species